rnacentral:rRNA from 1 species
UUUACUGACGCUAAAGCUCGAAGGUGCGGGUAUCGAACAGGAUUAGAUACCCUGGUAGUCCGCACGGUAAACGAUGGAUGCCCGCUGUUGGCGAUACACUGUCAGCGGCCAAGCGAAAGCGUUAAGCAUCCCACCUGGGGAGUACGCCGGCAACGGUGAAACUCAAAGGAAUUGACGGGGGCCCGCACAAGCGGAGGAACAUGUGGUUUAAUUCGAUGAUACGCGAGGAACCUUACCCGGGCUUGAACUGCAGGAGAAGGAUACAGAGAUGUUGACGUCCUUCGGGACUCCUGUGGAGGUGCUGCAUGGUUGUCGUCAGCUUGUGCCGUGAGGUGUCGGCUUAAGUGCCAUAACGAGCGCAACCCCUUUCGCCAGUUGCCAUCAGGUGAUGCUGGGCACUCUGGGGAUACUGCCACCGUAAGGUGUGAGGAAGGUGGGGAUGACGUCAAAUCAGCACGGCCCUUACGUCCGGGGCUACACACGUGUUACAAUGGGGGGUACAGAGAGUCGGUCGCACGCAAGUACGGUCCAAUCAUGAAAGCUCCCCUCAGUUCGGAUUGGGGUCUGCAACCCGACCCCAUGAAGCUGGAUCGCUAGUAA